UGAAAAGGUUUUAGACUUUAUGGACUUGAG
rnacentral:piRNA from 2 species